rnacentral:rRNA from 1 species
AGCUCUCGCUAUAGGAUGAGCCUAAGUCGGAUUAGCUGGUUGGUGGGGUAAAGGCCUACCAAGGCGACGAUCUGUAGCUGGUCUGAGAGGAUGAUCAGCCACACUGGGACUGAGACACGGCCCAGACUCCUACGGGAGGCAGCAGUGGGGAAUAUUGGACAAUGGGCGAAAGCCUGAUCCAGCCAUGCCGCGUGUGUGAAGAAGGCCUUUUGGUUGUAAAGCACUUUAAGUGGGGAGGAAAAGCUUAUGGUUAAUACCCGUAAGCCCUGACGUUACCCACAGAAUAAGCACCGGCUAACUCUGUGCCAGCAGCCGCGGUAAUACAGAGGGUGCAAGCGUUAAUCGGAAUUACUGGGCGUAAAGCGCGCGUAGGUGGUUAUUUAAGUCAGAUGUGAAAGCCCCGGGCUUAACCUGGGAACUGCAUCUGAUACUGGAUAACUAGAGUAGGUGAGAGGGGAGUAGAAUUCCAGGUGUAGCGGUGAAAUGCGUAGAGAUCUGGAGGAAUACCGAUGGCGAAGGC